rnacentral:rRNA from 1 species
UACGUAGGGUCCGAGCGUUGUCCGGAAUUACUGGGCGUAAAGAGCUCGUAGGUGGUUUGUCGCGUUGUUCGUGAAAACUCACAGCUCAACUGUGGGCGUGCGGGCGAUACGGGCAGACUGGAGUACUGCAGGGGAGACUGGAAUUCCUGGUGUAGCGGUGGAAUGACGCAGAUAUCAGGAGGAACACCGGUGGCGAAGGCGGUUCUCUGGGCCUUACCUGACGCUGAGGAGCGAAAGCGUGGGGGAGCGAA